rnacentral:rRNA from 1 species
UGGGAAUCGAGUUUCAGCUCCCAACCCAAUGUGAACGUUACCAAACUGUUGCCUCGGCGGGAUCUCUGCCCCGGGUGCGUCGCAGCCCCGGACCAAGGCGCCCGCCGGAGGACCAACCAAAACUCUUAUUGUAUACCCCCUCGCGGGUUUUUUACUAUCUGAGCCAUCUCGGCGCCCCUUGCGGGCGUUUCGAAAAUGAAUCAAAACUUUCAACAACGGAUCUCUUGGUUCUGGCAUCGAUGAAGAACGCAGCGAAAUGCGAUAAGUAAUGUGAAUUGCAGAAUUCAGUGAAUCAUCGAAUCUUUGAACGCACAUUGCGCCCGCCAGUAUUCUGGCGGGCAUGCCUGUCCGAGCGUCAUUUCAACCCUCGAACCCCUCCGGGGGUCCGGCGUUGGGGAUCGGCCCUUUACCGGCCGGCCCCGAAAUACAGUGGCGGUCUCGCCGCAGCCUCUCCUGCGCAGUAGUUUGCACACUCGCACCGGGAGCGCGGCGCAGUCCAAUGCCGUAAAACACCCAACUUUCUGAAAUGUUGACCUCGGAUCAGGUAGGAAUACCCGCUGAACUUAAGCAUAUCAAUAGGCCGGGAGGAA